GCAGGAGCAGGUCCUGGAGGCCUGGUCGGCGUGGGCGUUUUAUUCCGAGACCAAGGGGAUCCACUGCAGAGUUCUCCGCUGGGCGUGACCUCGGGCUACGGCGUGGGAGGAAGCGCGCGGCAAGACACCCAGCGAGGUGCUGGGGUCGCCCCCAGGAGAGGACGGCGGCUCGGACUGUCCGGCGGCGGCGGCGGGGACAGCGACAGGGGCGCGAGGUGCCUUGGCAUCUCCCAAUGGGGUGGCUUUGCUCUGGGCUCCUGUUCCCUGUGAGCUGCCUGGUCCUGCUGCAGGUGGCAAGCUCUGGGAACAUGAAGGUCUUGCAGGAGCCCACCUGCGUCUCCGACUACAUGAGCAUCUCUACUUGCGAGUGGAAGAUGAAUGGUCCCACCAAUUGCAGCACCGAGCUCCGCCUGUUGUACCAGCUGGUUUUUCUGCUCUCCGAAGCCCACACGUGUAUCCCUGAGAACAACGGAGGCGCGGGGUGCGUGUGCCACCUGCUCAUGGAUGACGUGGUCAGUGCGGAUAACUAUACACUGGACCUGUGGGCUGGGCAGCAGCUGCUGUGGAAGGGCUCCUUCAAGCCCAGCGAGCAUGUUCAGAAUCUAUAACGUGACCUACCUAGAACCCUCCCUCCGCAUCGCAGCCAGCACCCUGAAGUCUGGGAUUUCCUACAGGGCACGGGUGAGGGCCUGGGCUCAGUGCUAUAACACCACCUGGAGUGAGUGGAGCCCCAGCACCAAGUGGCACAACUCCUACAGGGAGCCCUUCGAGCAGCACCUCCUGCUGGGCGUCAGCGUUUCCUGCAUUGUCAUCCUGGCCGUCUGCCUGUUGUGCUAUGUCAGCAUCACCAAGAUUAAGAAAGAAUGGUGGGAUCAGAUUCCCAACCCAGCCCGCAGCCGCCUCGUGGCUAUAAUAAUCCAGGAUGCUCAGGGGUCACAGUGGGAGAAGCGGUCCCGAGGCCAGGAACCAGCCAAGUGCCCACACUGGAAGAAUUGUCUUACCAAGCUCUUGCCCUGUUUUCUGGAGCACAACAUG
rnacentral:lncRNA from 1 species